GCAGUGGUGGCUUAAUGGUAGAAUUCUUGCCUUCCAAGCAGAAGACUCAGGUUUGAUUCCCAGCUAAUGCG
rnacentral:tRNA from 1 species